rnacentral:tmRNA from 1 species
UUUACGGACCCAAAGGCAGUAUUUGGUAUUUCCAUAUUUAUUAAUAGGGAAUAAUAAUAGAAUUGACGUAAA